rnacentral:rRNA from 1 species
ACGGGAGGCAGCAGUGGGGAAUAUUGGACAAUGGAGGAAACUCUGAUCCAGCGACGCCGCGUGAGUGAAGAAGUAUUUCGGUAUGUAAAGCUCUAUCAGCAGGAAAGAAAAUGACGGUACCUGACUAAGAAGCCCCGGCUAACCACGUGCCAGCAGCCGCGGUAAUACGUAGGGGGCAAGCGUUAUCCGGAUUUACUGGGUGUAAAGGGAGCGUAGACGGCGAAGCAAGUCUGAAGUGAAAGCUCGGGGCUCAACCCCGGAACUGCUUUGGAAACUGUUUUGCUGGAGUGCAGGAGAGGUAAGCGGAAUUCCUAGUGUAGCGGUGAAAUGCGUAGAUAUUAGGAGGAACACCAGAGGCGUAGGCGGCUUACUGGACUGUAACUGACGUUGAGGCUCGAAGGCGUGGGGAGCAAACAGGAUUAGAUACCCUGGUA